rnacentral:rRNA from 1 species
GAUGAACGCUGGCGGCGUGCCUAAUACAUGCAAGUCGAGCGAACGGACGAGAAGCUUGCUUCUCUGAUGUUAGCGGCGGACGGGUGAGUAACACGUGGAUAACCUACCUAUAAGACUGGGAUAACUUCGGGAAACCGGAGCUAAUACCGGAUAAUAUUUUGAACCGCAUGGUUCAAAAGUGAAAGACGGUCUUGCUGUCACUUAUAGAUGGAUCCGCGCUGCAUUAGCUAGUUGGUAAGGUAACGGCUUACCAAGGCAACGAUGCAUAGCCGACCUGAGAGGGUGAUCGGCCACACUGGAACUGAGACACGGUCCAGACUCCUACGGGAGGCAGCAGUAGGGAAUCUUCCGCAAUGGGCGAAAGCCUGACGGAGCAACGCCGCGUGAGUGAUGAAGGUCUUCGGAUCGUAAAACUCUGUUAUUAGGGAAGAACAUAUGUGUAAGUAACUGUGCACAUCUUGACGGUACCUAAUCAGAAAGCCACGGCUAACUACGUGCCAGCAGCCGCGGUAAUACGUAGGUGGCAAGCGUUAUCCGGAAUUAUUGGGCGUAAAGCGCGCGUAGGCGGUUUUUUAAGUCUGAUGUGAAAGCCCACGGCUCAACCGUGGAGGGUCAUUGGAAACUGGAAAACUUGAGUGCAGAAGAGGAAAGUGGAAUUCCAUGUGUAGCGGUGAAAUGCGCAGAGAUAUGGAGGAACACCAGUGGCGAAGGCGACUUUCUGGUCUGUAACUGACGCUGAUGCGCGAAAGCGUGGGGAUCAAACAGGAUUAGAUACCCUGGUAGUCCACGCCGUAAACGAUGAGUGCUAAGUGUUAGGGGGUUUCCGCCCCUUAGUGCUGCAGCUAACGCAUUAAGCACUCCGCCUGGGGAGUACGACCGCAAGGUUGAAACUCAAAGGAAUUGACGGGGACCCGCACAAGCGGUGGAGCAUGUGGUUUAAUUCGAAGCAACGCGAAGAACCUUACCAAAUCUUGACAUCCUUUGACAACUCUAGAGAUAGAGCCUUCCCCUUCGGGGGACAAAGUGACAGGUGGUGCAUGGUUGUCGUCAGCUCGUGUCGUGAGAUGUUGGGUUAAGUCCCGCAACGAGCGCAACCCUUAAGCUUAGUUGCCAUCAUUAAGUUGGGCACUCUAAGUUGACUGCCGGUGACAAACCGGAGGAAGGUGGGGAUGACGUCAAAUCAUCAUGCCCCUUAUGAUUUGGGCUACACACGUGCUACAAUGGACAAUACAAAGGGCAGCGAAACCGCGAGGUCAAGCAAAUCCCAUAAAGUUGUUCUCAGUUCGGAUUGUAGUCUGCAACUCGACUACAUGAAGCUGGAAUCGCUAGUAAUCGUAGAUCAGCAUGCUACGGUGAAUACGUUCCCGGGUCU